rnacentral:lncRNA from 1 species
CUCAGUUCCACCACCAAAUGCUCUGCUUCUAAUGAGGUGCAGGUCUGCUCCUGCAAAGAGCUGGUUAGAAGAGAAAGAAGAAGAAGAAGAAAACAAUGAUCAUGAAGAAAAAGAAGAGAAAGAAGAAUGCCAGGAAGCAAAUAUAUCUGAAAAACAAGAGAGAAAAGGCAAAAUUACUUUGAAGAGCUUAAUGGAUGAAGAAAAAAUGAAGAAGAUGAACGAGAACCUGGUGGUGAUGACAUACGGUUCUGAUUUGUACAACAUUUCAACUGAGAUUGCUAAGGAGACAUGGGUUGUU